rnacentral:sRNA from 1 species
UCCGAGCGAGAGACUGAGAAAUAGAAGGAGCGUAGCAGAGCAGU